rnacentral:rRNA from 1 species
UGCGUAGGUGGGCAGGUAAGUCCGCGGUGAAAUCCCCGAGCUUAACUUGGGAACUGCCGUUGAUACUAUCUGUCUUGAAUAUCGUGGAGGUAAGCGGAAUAUGUCAUGUAGCGGUGAAAUGCUUAGAGAUGACAUAGAACACCAAUUGCGAAGGCAGCUUGCUACACGAUAAUUGACACUGAGGCACGAAAGCGUGGGGAGCAAACAGGAUUAGAUACCCUGGUAGUCC